rnacentral:rRNA from 1 species
GAACGCUGGCGGCGUGCCUAACACAUGCAAGUCGAGCGGUAACAGGUGUAGCAAUACAUGCUGACGAGCGGCGAACGGGUGAGUAAUGCUUCGGAAUCUGCCCAAUGGUGGGGAAUAACCAGCCGAAAGGUUGGCUAAUACCGCAUAAGUCCUACGGGGGAAAGCAGGGGAUCGCAAGACCUUGCGCCGAUGGAUGAGCCGAAGUCGGAUUAGCUAGUUGGUAGGGUAACGGCCUACCAAGGCGACGAUCCGUAGCUGGUCUGAGAGGACGACCAGCCACACUGGGACUGAGACACGGCCCAGACUCCUACGGGAGGCAGCAGUGGGGAAUAUUGGACAAUGAGGGAAACCCUGAUCCAGCGACGCCGCGUGUGUGAAGAAGGCCUGCGGGUUGUAAAGCACUUUUAGUGGGGAUGAAAAGCUCAGGGCUAACACCUCUGGGUCUUGACCUAACCCAAAGAAAAAGCACCGGCUAACUCUGUGCCAGCAGCCGCGGUAAUACAGAGGGUGCGAGCGNUUAUCGGAAUUACUGGGCGUAAAGCGUGCGUAGACGGUUAUGUAAGUCGGGUGUGAAAGCCCCGGGCUC